rnacentral:rRNA from 1 species
UACAGAGGGUGCGAGCGUUAAUCGGAAUUACUGGGCGUAAAGCGUGCGUAGACGGUUAUUUAAGUCGGAUGUGAAAGCCCCGGGCUCAACCUGGGAAUUGCAUUCGAGACUGAAUAGCUAGGGUGCGGUAGAGGGAAGCGGAAUUUCCGGUGUAGCGGUGAAAUGCGUAGAUAAUCGGAAGGAACAUCAGUGGCGAAAGCGGCUUCCUGGACCAGCACCGACGUCAGGCACGAAAGCGUGGGGAGCAAACAGG